GCUUGAAUAGCUCAUUGGAAUUGGUGUAUAUUUGUAAAAGUGGAUUGCUGAAACUGUUGGUGAAGAACAAAGGUCGACUGAAGCAUUGAGGUAAGGAUGCUGCAGGAGCCUCUGGUGGCAAGUGGCCAUAUCUGGAUUAUGCAUGAAAUGUGGCAUUCCUUUUGAGUUUAUGCAUGCCUUUGUAGUUGACAUGUAUAGGAAUUUAUUUUCAAAGCCUUUGGUCAUUUGUAUAUCUUGAUUCAUUGGAUGAACUUAGCCUA